rnacentral:rRNA from 1 species
UGGGGAAUAUUGCACAAUGGGCGAAAGCCUGAUGCAGCGACGCCGCGUGCGGGAUGAAGGCCUUCGGGUUGUAAACCGCUUUUAAUUGGGAGCAAGCGAGAGUGAGUGUACCUUUUGAAUAAGCACCGGCUAACUACGUGCCAGCAGCCGCGGUAAUACGUAGGGUGCAAGCGUUAUCCGGAAUUAUUGGGCGUAAAGAGCUCGUAGGCGGUUUGUCACGCCUGGUGUGAAAGUCCAUCGCUUAACGGUGGAUCUGCGCCGGGUACGGGCAGGCUAGAGUGCAGUAGGGGAGAUUGGAAUUCCCGGUGUAACGGUGGAAUGUGUAGAUAUCGGGAAGAACACCAAUGGCGAAGGCAGAUCUCUGGGCUGUUACUGACGCUGAGGAGCGAAAGCAUGGGGAGCGAACAGGAUUAGAUACCCUGGUAGUCCAUGCCGUAAACGGUGGAUGCUGGAUGUGGGACCCUUCCACGGGUUCCGUGUCGGAGCUAACGCGUUAAGCAUCCCGCCUGGGGAGUACGGCCGCAAGGCUAAAAAC